rnacentral:rRNA from 1 species
UUGGAGGGCAAGUCUGGUGCCAGCAGCCGCGGUAAUUCCAGCUCCAAUAGCGUAUAUUAAAGUUGUUGCAGUUAAAAAGCUCAUAGUUGAAUUUCGGGGUCAGUAGGUUGGUCAUGCCACUGGUAUGUACUGGUCUCACUGAUUCCUCCUUCCUGAUGAACUGUAAUGCCAUUAAUUUGGUGUUGCAGGGAAUCUGGACUGUUACUUUGAAAAAAUUAGAGUGUUUAAAGCAGGCUAACGCCUGAAUACAUUAGCAUGGAAUAAUGAAAUAGGACGUUCGAUCCUAUUUUGUUGGUUUCUAGGAUUGACGUAAUGAUUAAUAGGGAUAGUUGGGGGCAUUAGUAUUCAAUUGUCAGAGGUGAAAUUCUUGGAUUUAUUGAAGACUAACUACUGCGAAAGCAUUUGCCAAGGGUGUUUUCAUUAAUCAAGAACGAAAGUUAGGGGAUCGAAGACGAUCAGAUACCGUCGUAGUCUUAACCAUAAACUAUGCCGACUAGGGAUCGGAUGAUGUUAAUUUUUUAAUGACUCAUUCGGCGCCUUACGGGAAAC